UCGUGCGAAGAUAUUCAAAUUUAAACGUUUCUUUGUGACAUUAAAUAGACGAAAUUUUUGUCGAGAGGCAAAUGUCAAACCGUGUCUUAAAAUUCUUUCGCAGAUUAAAUUUAAUGAUUAAAUUUUGAGAUGGAUUUUAUUGGUAGCCUACACUAAAAAUCUAAACAUUUUGCUUAAGUAACUUAAAUUAAACUCUACAAAUACAUCACUAUACUUAGAAGUUGGUAUCGGCUACAGUUUCGAUGAAUACUAAACGGAAAAGUUUGGUAAGAAAAGUUUUCUUCAAUGGCUGCUACUCUUCGACAGCCUAUAGGGUACCCUUGAUUCGAGAUUUGCACAGCAAUAAACCAAGCAUCAAAUUGCUUGUAUUCAUCACCUUCCACAACAGAAACAACAGUAAUACCAAUAACAAUAGCGUCACGAAGGCCAAACAUAUUAGCAUGGCUCUGUGGCCAACAUAUUGAACAGCGCAUUCAUCAUGCGUCGCUGCUGUGCCUGCUUCGAACAUUACCGGCAUCUUUGCUAACGGGAGGCCAGCCGAUCUAUUAUCAUUGAUUAAUACGUUUCGCCGUAGCGCCUCUUUUGUGCGCGCAACGACUGGCAGUGGACCAUUUAGCAGCAUACCAAUGCAACUCAAGGUAAUCCAGGCGAAGUGAGUGCAGCGCAAUGUGCAUUUGUGUGGGGGCGUGACUGUCGCAAACACUCUAUGUGGCGCAUAAACAAGGCGAUUCAAGGUGUUGCCCCUUGAGGGCAAUAGUACAGUCAAUUAGCAUUCAGUCCAGUGGCGAAUGCCGAGAUUGUCGAGUGCAGCUUAGUUAAUUUGCACCAAUGUAGGCAUAAUUGUCAAGCGCAAUUUACUUUGUUGUGACAAAUUUCAGGCAUUCGCCGUAAGUUACCGGAGCAAGGGUGUCAAGAGCAGAGCGCCCCAUUUGCAUGCCAACACUGGAGCAAAAUUUGCGUAUACGCAGACACACAUACAAACAUAUCACAAUGCUAUGGCGUUUGCUUUGGAAGCAAUAAUUGUUUUUGUGAGCGAAACUCCGUUAUUUAUUGUAUUUAUUGUUGUAUGUAAAUAUGUAAAUAGUAAAGAAAAGGGAAAAUUACCUUUUUAUUUGAAUAAAGCGCUCACCUUAAAAAUA